UAUUCAAGGCAGCUGAAAUAAUGCUCUCCAGAAUUCGCUUUUGCCUUUGCAAAUCCGGAUCUAAACGAAGCACAUUAUAUACGAAAUUUACCAGUACCUUUUUUUCGUCAGAAUAUUGUGAGAAAAGCAAUUUUGAAAAACCAUUAUCUUUCGGAUUUGAAUAAUUCGUAAACAUUAGCAACUGAUAAUACAAGUUACUAUUAACCUCAAAAACUGGGUAA